UUUAAGAGGUCUAGAAAAAUGAGCACCUCCCUCAAGCUAGUUUCCACCAUUUUAUACAUGACGCCAUUUAUGUUUACGUAGCUAGCGAGAAAGCAAGCUGUCAACUGCCGUUAUCUUGCAAAAUAUACUAGAUGAAGUAGGCCUGUCGGUAUAGUUAGCGAAACCAGAAGGAUUGCUCAUCCGUGGUGCCUAAUAUUUGUUUUGUGUCUGGUCUUUAGUAAGAUAAUGUUACUAACCUUGGGGGAAAACAUAUAACGAUUUCCGAUUCGAAAGCAAUUCAGACAAGACGAAACAAACACUCUCGCUAGCACGCAUCAUCGACAGCAGCUGAUCAACUAGUUAUUUGAGCAACACCAACAUGUCGGAAGGUCUUGAAACCUGCGAAGAUCCAGCUAUGGGGGAAAUUGAGCACGGACGGACAGGCUAGCAGCGAGGAGCAGAUACCAACGGCUGCAGAGAGCGGCCAGUCAGGAGAAUCCAAGGGAUCAAAGAUUGAUGCCAGCAAAAAACGAAGAGGAUGAGGGGUAAAUGUGUGUUGGUCUGGAACUGGGACACAACAAAGAAGGAUUUGAAGGAUUACUUCAAGUUUGGGGAGGUGGUAGACUGCACCCUGAAGCUUGACCCCAUGACAGGUUGGUCUCGGGGGUUUGACUUUGUCCUGUUCAAAGCAGCUGACAGUGUUGAUAAGAUAUUCCUGAUUGUAUUUGUUGUGAAUAUGACAUGGCAGCCAUGGGAUGUGAGUCUUUUCUGCCCAAUCAGUUUCUUUAUUAACUGAUUGUAUAUGUUGUGAAUAUGACAUGACAGCAAUGGGAUGUGAGUCUUUUCUGCCCAAUCAGUUUCUUUAUUAACUGAUUGUAUAUGUUGUGAAUAUGACAUGGCAGCAAUGGGAUGUGAGUCUUUUCUGCCCAAUCAGUUUCUUUAUUAACUGAUUGUAUAUGUUGUGAAUAUGACAUGGCAGCAAUGGGAUGUGAGUCUUUUCUGCCCAAUCAGUUUCUUUAUUAACUGAUUGUAUAUGUUGUGAAUAUGACAUGGCAGCAAUGGGAUGUGAGUCUUUUCUGCCCAAUCAGUUUCUUUAUUAUCAUUUUUCCACAAGCUGAAUGGGAAGGUGAUCGACCCUAAGAAGGUCAAGGCCAUGAAGAACAAGGAGCCAAACAGGAAAGUCUUUGUAGGAGGUCUUUCUCCAGACACCCCCGAGGAGAAGAUCAGGGAAUAAUUUGGUACCUUUGGAGAGGUAGGCUACAGUAGACUUAUAUUUGACAUGGUCAGAUGUUCUUUAGAGAGUGUGCUCGCCUGGGUGCCAAUCUGAACGAUUGAAUCAGAUCAGUCCAAAGCAAUUACCUGAAAGAGCUGAUAUUUACUCACGGCAUGUGUGUGCAAGUUGACCAAAACAUUCAAACCUUGUACAAUGGAUUAUUCUAUUCCUGAGUUUUCUGUGUGAACAGUUGGAGUCCAUUGAGCUCCCCAUAGAAACCAAAAGCAACAAGAGAUGGGGCUUCUGCUUCAUCACCUUUCAAAGAGGAGGAGCAAGUGAAGAAGAUCGUGGAGAGAAAGUACAACAGUAUAGGAUUUAGGAAGUUACUGUACAGUACAUCAUGGCUUCCCUUGAAGGUGUACCUGUGGAUGUAUUUAAAGGCCUACCUUCAAACUCAGUGCCUCUUUGCUUGACAUGAGGAAGAAAAACAAAUUCCGCCAAGACCUCAUAAAAAAAUUGUAGACCCCCACAAGUCUGGUUCAUCCAUGGGAGCAAUUUGCAAACACCUGAAGGUACCACUUUCAUCUGUACAAACAAUAGUACGCAAGUAUAAACACCAUGGGACCACGCAGCCGUCAUACCGCUCAGGAAGGAGACGCGUUCCGUCUCCUAGAGAUUAAUGUACUUUGGUGCGAAAAGUGCAAAUCAAUCCCAGAACAACAGCAAAGGACCUUGUGAAUAUGCUGGGGGAAACAGGCACAAAAGUAUCUAUAUCCACAGUAAAACAAGUCCUAUAUCGACAUAACCUGCUCAGCAAGGAAGAAGCCACUUCUCCAAAACCGCCAUGAAAAAGCCAGACUACGGUUUGCAACUGCACAUGGGGACAAAGAUCCUCUGGUCUGAUGAAACAAAAAUAGAACUGUUUGGCCAUAAUGACCAUCGUUAUGUUUGGAGGAAAAAGGGGGAGGCUUGCAGCAUCAUGUUGUGGGGUGCUUUCCUGCAGGAGGGACUGGUGCACUUCACAAAAUAGAUGGCAUCAUGAGGAUGGAACUUAUGUGAAUAUAUUGAAGCAACAUCUCAAGACAUCAGUCAGUAAGUUAAAGCUUGGUCGCAAAUGGGUCUUCCAAAUGGACAAUGACCCCAGGCAUACUUCCAAAGUUGUGGCAAAAUGGCUUAAGGACAACAAAGUCAAGGUAUUGAAGUGGCCAUCACAAAGCCCUGACCUCAAUCCUAUAGAGAAUUUGUGGGCAGAACUGAAAAUGCUUGUGUGAGCAAGGAGGCCAACAAACCUGACUCAGUUACACCAGCUCUGUCAGGAGGAAUGGGCCAAAAUUCACCCAACAUAUUGUGGGAAGCUUGUGGAAGGCCACUCAAAACAUUUGACCCAAGUUAAACAAUUUAAUGGUAAUGCUACCAAAUACUAAUUGAGUGUAUGUAAACUUCUGACCCACUGGGAAUGUGAUGAAAGAAAUAAAAGCUGAAAUAAGUCCUUCUCUCUACUAUUAUUCUGACAUUUCAAAUUCUUAAAAUAAAGUGGUGAUCCUAACUGACCUAAGACAGGGAAUUUUUACUAGGAUUAAAUGGCAGGAAUUGUAAAAAAAAACUGAGUUUAAAUGUAUUUGGCUAAGGUGUAUGUAAACUUCUGACUUCAACUGUAUGUAAAUGUCAUAUUUCAGUUUUGUAUUUUUUAUUAAUUUGUAAACAUUUCUAAAAAACAGUUAUUACUUUAUAAUUUUGUGGUAUUGUGUGUAGAUUGAUGAGGGGGAAAAAACUAUUUAAUACAUUUUAAGAAUAAGCCUCUAAUGUAACAACUUGUUACGAAUGCACUGUAUGUAUACAAGAUUCUAGAAUAUUCCAAAAUGCACCAGAAAAAAAACAACAACAUUUAUCUGGAAUUGAAUUUGAAAUAAUGUAUUUUUGUUUUUGUUUAUGAAGUAGUGUGAACGUUUUGGUACAUUAUGCUUUACCCUUGGAUAGUACACUCACCGGCAAUUUUAUUAGGUACACUACCCCAAAAAUUGAUAUAUAUAUAGCCGUAGCUUGCUAUAUAAAGCAGGCAGACAGGCAUCGAGGCAUUCAGUUACUGUUUGAUUGAACGAGUGACCUAAGCGACUUUGAGCGUGGUACAAUCAUCUGUGCCAGGUAUGCGAGAUCCAGUAUCUCAGAAAUGGCUGCCCACCUGGGCUUUUCACACAUGACAGUGUCUAGAGUUCACUGAGAGUGGAGCGACAAACAAAAAACAUCCAGUCAGCGGAGUUCCUGUGGGUGAAAACAGCUCGUUGAUGAGAGAGGAUGAAGGAAAAUGGCAAGAAUCGUGCAAACUAACAGGCGGGCCACAAACAAAUAAUGUCACAGUACAACAAUGGUGUGCAGAAUGUAAUCUCGGAACGCACAACUUGUCGAUCCUUGUCAUGGCUGGGUUAUUGCAGCAGAUGACCACGCGUUCACCAACGCUGGACAAUUGAGUGGAAAAACAUUGUCUGCUCCGACGAUUCUUGGUUCUUGUUGUGUCAUGCUGAUGGCAGAGUAAGGAUUUGGUGUAAGCAGCAUGAGUCCAUGGACCCAUCCUGCCUGGUGUCGAACGGUACAGGCUGGUGGCAUUGAUGUACUGGUGUAGGGAAUGUUUUUCUGGCACACGUUAGGUCCUUUGAUACCAAUUGAGCAACAAAUGUUUUUGAAACCUUGUAGAAUCAAUUUCCUGAAGAAUUCAAGCUGUUCUGGUGGCAAAGUGGGGUCCGGCCAGUUACUAGAUGGAUGUACCUAAUAAACUGGUCGGUGACUGUAACUCAUUGCUAGUGGAGUGUAACUACACGGUAAUGGAGUGAACUAUUAUGGCUGCCAGAGGUGGCCACCAUUUACAAAUAUAAAAAUCAUUCAGUUUAAGGAAUUCAAUACACCUUAAAACUGUAACGUUAGUUGUUAGAAAUGUUCUAAACUUUUUUCAGGACCCUGUCUUUCAAAGAUCAUUUGUAAAAAUCCAAAUAACUUGACAGAUCUUCAUUGUAAAGGGUUUAAACACUUUCCAAUGCUUGUUCAAUGAACCAUAAACAAUUAAUGAACAUGCACCUGUGGAACGGUCGUUAAGACACUAACAGCUUACAGACGGUAGGUAAUUAAGGUCACAGUUAUGAAAACUUAGGACACUAAAGAGGCCUUUCUACUGACUCUGAAAAACACUAAAAGAAAGAUGCCCAGGGUCCCUACUCAUCUGCGUGAACGUGCCUUAGGCAUGCUGCAAGGAGGCAUGAGGACUGCAGAUGUGGCCAAGGCAAUAAAUUGCAAUGUCCGUACUGUGAGACGCCUAAGACAGCACUACAGGGAGAAAGGACGGACAGCUGAUCGUCCUCGCAGUGGCAAGACCAUGUGUAACAACACCUGCACAGGAUCGGUACAACCGAACAUCACACCUGCAGGACAGGUACAGGAUGGCAACAGCAACUGCCCGAGUUACACCAGGAAUGCACAAUCCCUCCAUCAGUGCUCAGACUGUCCGCAAUAGGCUGAGAGAGGUUGGACUGAGGGCUUGUAAGCCUGUGUAAGGCCGGUCAUCACCAGAUAUCACCGGUAACAACGUCGCCUAUGGGCACAAACCCACCGUCGAUGGAGCAGACAGGACUGGCAAAAAGUGCUCUUCACUGACGAGUCGCGGUUUUGUCUCACCAGGGGUGAUGGUCGAAUUCGCGAAUAUCGUCGAAGGAAUGAGCGUUACACCAAGCCCUGUACUCUGGAACGGGAUCAAUUUGGAGUUGGAGGGUCCGUCAUGGUCUGGGGUGGUGUGUCACAGCAUCAUCGGACUGAGCUUGUUGUCAUUGCAGGCAAUCUCAACGCUGUGCGUUACAGGGAAGACAUCCUCCUCCCUCAUGUGGUACCCUUCCUGCAGGCUCAUCCUGACAUGACCCUCAAGCAUGACAAUGCCAACAGCCACACUGCUCGUUCUGUACGUGAUUUCCUGCAAGACAGGAAUGUCAGUGUUCUGCCAUGGUCAGCGAAGAGCCCAGAUCUCAAUCCCAUUGAGCAUGUCUGGGACCUGUUGUAUUGGAGUGUGAGGCGUAGGGCCAUUCCCCCCAGAAAUGUCCGGGAACUUGCAGGUGCCUUGGUGGAAGAGUGAGGUAACAUCUCACAGCAAGAACGGGCAAAUCUGGUGCAGUCCACGAGGAGGAGAUGCACUGCAGUACUUAAUGCAGCUGGUGGCCACACCAGAUACUGACUCCUACUUUUGAUUUUGACCAACCCUAUAUUCAGGGACACAUUAUUCCAUUUCUGUUAGUCACAUGUCUGUGGAACUUGUUCAGUUUAUGUCUCAGUUGUUGAAUCUUCUUAUGUUCAUACAAAUAUUCACACAUGUUAAGUUUGCUGAAAAUAAACUCAGUUGAGAUGCCGUUUCUUUUUUUGCUGAGUUUAUAUUGUGUAUUAAAAAAAAAAAUAGACAAACAAACAUUAUGAAAUGUAUCUUAUUAAAUAUCAAAUGAACAGAUCCAUAUAAUCCAAAAACAGCCAAACAAAUUCCAGGAAGCUUAUUUACAAAAGUCGUAAUGUGAAAUUAUAUUUUGUCACGUUACUAUGCACAAUCCACCUUGAAUCCGCCUUGGAGGAGACUAAAAUAAAAUUCAAAAAAUGA